UUCUUAGGGAAAGGAAAACACCCCCGUACCACACCAAACUAGCCACACGACCGCGUGGUGAUGCGAAUCAUCGCCUCGUCGCCCAACCAUCCGUCCAUCCCAUAUCUGACCCCUUCCCUCCCCAAACCGUCAAAUCCCACCUCGCCGUCGCCUCCAAUCUCCCCACCUCGCCAUCGCCAUGGGCAAGAAGCAGUAGCUCGAACCGCAAUCCAACUUGGCAGCAAAGUCCGCUACCGCGAAGGCUUUAGCUGCCGCUAAGAUCGUCGAGCCGGCAACCCCUCACCCUAUCUCACGGCGACCCCCAACCAAUAUCGACGUCAAGCCGGCUCGCUCCUCCUGCAUGGCCGCCGAUCAGCGAUCCCCACACUCAAUCUCGGCGUGAAGCCCGCUCUUCGCGCACGGCUCUCGGUCUUCGUUGCCUGCGACGCGGCGCCUUCCUGGGUGCUGGGCCGUGAGCUGGGCCAUGAUCCCAUUGUCGAACACCUAGGUCAUCGAGGAGCCGCUCCUCCGGCACGGCUGCUAUUCUUCAUCACCUUCGAUGUCUCCUGAGCGCUAGGAUGCGGGUCGGGCGUGGUUCCAUUGCAGUCCACCGUAGGUCGUCGAGGAGCAAGCCGUUCGUUCCUCUGCUCAGCUUCCAUCCCACUUUUAGAUGCACAGAGAUUAACAAAGAGCAUGUUUGAAGAGGUUUAUUAGUAACGGAAUUCCCUUUGUAAAUUCACAUCCAAGAUUUAAUAACCGAUGGGGUAUAGAGAUGCUGACUGAUUUUCCUGAGUAGGUAUUGCCCCAUAUGAUGGUAAGAUACCCUCUAUUUCAUGAUUGAGCUUUCUAUAUAAUAUUAUCAACCAAACUACAAUUUAUCUACUUUUAGUUUUCCUUUUUUUAGCAAAAAAUAGUCGGGAAGACCCCUACUUAUUUUUUCCUUUAUCUUAAAGUCAAAUCUCUACUGUAAUUUAGGCUUUUUGUUGCCCAAACAGCUCUGUUGACUAAUUAAGAAAGUUAGCAUUUGCUACUAUUGUUCAUACCAUUCAACUAGCCUCCUUGCUAUGGAUGAGGAUUAGUGGAUGAAGCACAAAGAAAGAUAAGUGGUGAAUAUUUGGAACAUGCUAAUUUAAUUUUAGUAUGAAGUAUCCCUUACAUUGUAGCUAUCUGUCGCUGUCACAGAUAUAUUAUCUUCGUUGGACAUAACAUGGCUCACCUUGGUCCAUUGUGAAGGCAAUGAGGACUCUUCUGAAGUUUACCAUUCUGAAGGAUGAAUAUUUCGUGUUAGGCAUGAAACAAGAGGGAUUUGUGCAUCUUCAAUGCAAUCUUUAGAUGAAAGGAACACUGAACACAUAUAUGUUGCGCCAAUGUUCAUUCAUAUUGAUGUAUACAAUUCAGGAAGAAGUCGCUGCUUGCAUAUUUAAGUUUCCUUAGUUAGUUGUCAGGUGAGUAUAAUUUACUGUCUCUAAUACAGGAAGCGUCUUUUUUACACUUCCCUUGAAUAGUUAAGCUCUAUGAUGUAUCACAGAUUCAUGACACAGAAUAGCUAUACAGUUUUGUGGAACUUCACUACAAUCAACAACAGUAGUCUGAUAAUCAAAAUUUUGUAUG